UAUGGGUGAUUAUAAUAUAUUAUAUUUAAU
rnacentral:piRNA from 1 species